GCCCUUUUCCUAACAUACAGCCGUGAUAACAGCUGAUAAGCCCUAUACUCCUAUCCCCAAGGUAGCUAAGAAUCUGCAAGACAUCAACAUGUAUGCAAAAUCUCCAAAUGAUUCAGCAACUCAUCCCCAAAACCAGAUGCAAGAUUCACCCACAGUGGCUCGGGUUGGGAUUAUUCCUUCGAGCAUUUGGUCUUCGCACAAUUACUUGUUAUGGCAGCAAAAGUUUUAGGUCCUCAGGAGAUUGUUUCCUUUGCUCUCAAUUAUCUAAAGGAAUGAGAUAGAAUUAAACAGGUCAGUGAUCCAUUCUCUAUAGCUUUAUCUAAAUUGAGCUCUCCUAUAAAAUGGUCUAAACCGAUCGAGGGAAGGUUCAAAUGCUAUGUGGAUGUGGCUCUCUUUUUGACACAAUUUAAAGCAAGUUUCGAUGCUA